UACAUGGGGUGCAAACGUUGCUCGGAAUCAUUGGGCGUAAAGCGCGCGUAGGCGGUUGCUUAAGUCGGAUGUGAAAGCCCUCGGCUUAACUGAGGAAGUGCAUCCGAAACUGAGCAGCUAGAGUACGAAAGAGGGUCGCGGAAUUCCCGGUGUAGAGGUGAAAAUUCGUAGAUAUCGGGAGGAACACCGGUGGCGAAGGCGGCGACCUGGGUCGAGACUGACGCUGAGGCGCGAAAGCGUGGGGAGCAAACAGG
rnacentral:rRNA from 1 species